rnacentral:tRNA from 1 species
CGCAGCGGGAAGCGGUGGCCCUGCUUUGGGAUCAGAGGGUCGUAGGUUCGAAUCCUAUCGCUCCGACCA